UAGGGAAUCUUCGGCAAUGGGGGCAACCCUGACCGAGCAACGCCGCGUGAGUGAAGAAGGUUUUCGGAUCGUAAAGCUCUGUUGUAAGUCAAGAACGAGUGUGAGAGUGGAAAGUUCACACUGUGACGGUAGCUUACCAGAAAGGGACGGCUAACUACGUGCCAGCAGCCGCGGUAAUACGUAGGUCCCGAGCGUUGUCCGGAUUUAUUGGGCGUAAAGCGAGCGCAGGCGGUUUGAUAAGUCUGAAGUUAAAGGCUGUGGCUCAACCAUAGUUCGCUUUGGAAACUGUCAAACUUGAGUGCAGAAGGGGAGAGUGGAAUUCCAUGUGUAGCGGUGAAAUGCGUAGAUAUAUGGAGGAACACCGGUGGCGAAAGCGGCUCUCUGGUCUGUAACUGACGCUGAGGCUCGAAAGCGUGGGGAGCGAACAGGAUUAGAUACCCUGGUAGUCCACGCCGUAAACGAUGAGUGCUAGGUGUUGGAUCCUUUCCGGGAUUCANUGCCGCNUCUAACGCAUUAAGCACUCCGCCUGGGGAGUACGACCGCAAGGUUG
rnacentral:rRNA from 1 species